rnacentral:misc_RNA from 1 species
GCCUCAGAUGAUGGUGGUUUCAGAUUUGGAUGACAUAUUUGUUCCAUUGCCUGAUGAUCUCCUUGUUAAUUUGUCUGAAUCAAGAAGUGUUGUAGAGGCAUUUCUAGAUAGUUUACCAUCCAUGUUUCAGGACAAUAUGAAUGUGGAAUCUGCUUUUGGUCCAGCUUUAAAAGCAGCAUUCAUGGUUAUGAGCCAACUUGGCGGAAAAUUGUUGAUUUUCCAGAAUACCAUGCCAUCUAUUGGUUUUGGCCGCUUAAAGUUGCGUGGGGAUGAUCUUCGUGUUUAUGGAACAGAUAAAGAACAUGCUUUAAGAAUACCAGAGGAUCCAUUCUAUAAGCAAAUGGCAGCUGAUUUUACCAAGUACCAGAUAGGAGUUAAUGUAUAUGCAUUCAGUGACAAGUACACUGAUAUAGCUUCUAUAGGGACUCUGGCUAAAUAUACUGGAGGACAGGUUUAUUAUUAUCCAAGUUUUCAAUCUGCUAAUCAUGGAGAGAAGUUGAGGCAUGAGCUGGCUAGGGAUCUUACAAGGGAA